rnacentral:rRNA from 1 species
UACGUAGGGGCAAGCGUUGUCCGGAAUUAUUGGGCGUAAAGCGCGCGCAGGCGGUCCUUUAAGUCUGAUGUGAAAGCCCACGGCUUAACCGUGGAGGGUCAUUGGAAACUGAGGGACUUGAGUACAGAAGAGGAGAGUGGAAUUCCACGUGUAGCGGUGAAAUGCGUAGAGAUGUGGAGGAACACCAGUGGCGAAGGCAACUCUCUGGUCUGUAACUGACGCUGAGGUGCGAAAGCGUGGGUAGCAAACAGGAUUAGAUACCCCGGUAGUCCCU